rnacentral:misc_RNA from 1 species
UGUUGAGCUAAUAAUCUCUGCAAUUUAUAAUAAACCCUCAAUUGAAGCCAUGGCAGGAAAAGAAUUUUGAGAAUACACCAAUCUAACCGAUCCUAAAGAUAAGAAAUUUGGUAAAGGGAAGGACAAGAUAGAUGGCGAGGAGGUCACUUUCCAACGCAUUGUUUCCAAGGGAUCCUGGCUUUUCCUACUGGGUGCUUGACAUGUUUAGAUGCAAGAGGUUGCUGUGAAACAUGGAGGUUACCUUCAUGGAAGAGGCGGUAUAGAUUCUUGCUCACAAUAAUUGCUUCCUCCUUUUGGUACAUUAGUUUGUCCAUAUAAUGAAAAUGUG